CAGUAAAUAUUUUUAUUUAAAAAUAUUAAUUUUGGGUAUUAAAGAUAUAGAAAUUCUAUUUUGCUGA
rnacentral:tRNA from 1 species